rnacentral:rRNA from 1 species
UGGGGAAUAUUGGACAAUGGGCGCAAGCCUGAUCCAGCCAUGCCGCGUGAGUGAUGAAGGCCCUAGGGUUGUAAAGCUCUUUCACCGGUGAAGAUAAUGACGGUAACCGGAGAAGAAGCCCCGGCUAACUUCGUGCCAGCAGCCGCGGUAAUACGAAGGGGGCUAGCGUUGUUCGGAUUUACUGGGCGUAAAGCGCACGUAGGCGGACUUUUAAGUCAGGGGUGAAAUCCCGGGGCUCAACCCCGGAACUGCCUAUGAUACUGGAAGUCUUGAGUAUGAUGGAGGUGAGUGGUAUUCCGGGUGUAGAGGUAAAAUUCGUAGAUAUUCGGAGGAACACCAGUGGCGAAGGCAGCUCACUGAACCAUUACUAACGCUGAGGUGCGAAAGCGUGGGGAGCAAACAGG